rfam:Angiostrongylus cantonensis strain Taiwan genome assembly, scaffold: ACAC_scaffold0004591
GCCUCGAUGGCUCAGUUGGGAGAGCGUUAGACUGAAGAUGUGAAGGUCAUCAGUUCGAUCUUGGUUCGGGGCA